GACGAACGCUGGCGGCGCGCCUAACACAUGCAAGUCGAGCGGAGAUACUUGAAGGAAGUUUUCGGAUGGAAUUUGAGUAUUUUAGCGGCGGACGGGUAAGUAACGCGUGAGUGACCUGCCUUCCACAGGGGGAUAACGUACCGAAAGGUACACUAAUACCGCAUGAGACCACAGCACUGCCUGGUGCAGGGGUCAAAGGAGCAAUCCGGUGGAAGAUGGACUCGCGUCCGAUUAGUUAGUUGGUGGGGUAACGGCCUACCAAGUCAGCGACCGGUAGCCGACCUGAGAGGGUGAUCGGCCACAUUGGAACUGAGAGACGGUCCAAACUCCUACGGGAGGCAGCAGUGGGGAAUAUUGGGCAAUGGGGGAAACCCUGACCCAGCGACGCCGCGUGAGGGAAGAAGGUUUUCGGAUUGUAAACCUCUGUUCUUGGUGAAGAGGGAAAGACGGUAGCCAAGGAGGAAGCCCCGGCUAACUACGUGCCAGCCGCCGCGGUAA
rnacentral:rRNA from 1 species